rnacentral:rRNA from 1 species
UGAGUAAUGCCUAGGAAUCUGCCUGGUAGUGGGGGACAACGUUUCGAAAGGAACGCUAAUACCGCAUACGUCCUACGGGAGAAAGCAGGGGACCUUCGGGCCUUGCGCUAUCAGAUGAGCCUAGGUCGGAUUAGCUAGUUGGUGAGGUAAUGGCUCACCAAGGCGACGAUCCGUAACUGGUCUGAGAGGAUGAUCAGUCACACUGGAACUGAGACACGGUCCAGACUCCUACGGGAGGCAGCAGUGGGGAAUAUUGGACAAUGGGCGAAAGCCUGAUCCAGCCAUGCCGCGUGUGUGAAGAAGGUCUUCGGAUUGUAAAGCACUUUAAGUUGGGAGGAAGGGCAGUAAGCUAAUACCUUGCUGUUUUGACGUUACCGACAGAAUAAGCACCGGCUAACUCUGUGCCAGCAGCCGCGGUAAUACAGAGGGUGCAAGCGUUAAUCGGAAUUACUGGGCGUAAAGCGCGCGUAGGUGGUUUGUUAAGUUGGAUGUGAAAGCCCCGGG